UUGAGUAACGCAAACAUUGUUGAGAAUCCAAUGCCCCAAAAACUUAAGGGUUCCUCCGCAAGAUUCGUCCACGGAGGGUGCGUCAGGGCCUAAGAUCAGGCCGAAAGGCGUAGUCGAUGGACAACAGGUGAAUAUUCUUUUACUACCCCUUGUUGGUCUCGAGGGACGAAGGAGGUUAGGUUAACCGAAAGAUGGUUAUCAGUUCAAGGACGCAAGGUGCCCCAGUUUUUUCAGGGUAAGAAGGGGUAGAGAAAAUGCCUCGAGCCGAUGUUCGAGUACCAGGUGCUACGGUGCUGAAGUAACCCAUGCCAUACUCCCAAGAAAAGCUCGAAUGACCUUCAACAAAACGGUACCUGUACCCGAAACCGACACAGCAGAGUUUGCUCCUUCUGGUAUUUCACAUCAUUGUCUUGCAUUGUUACGUUAAGAA
rnacentral:ncRNA from 1 species